AGGGGCGUGGCAACAGGUGAGAGCCUCGACCAGGAACCAGGAAGUAAACAACGAUGGCUGGCUUGGAAAACGUUACGUGUAAACUUUAAAAGAAAACAUUUUUACUAGCUAGUUUCACACUUUUUUAAAAACUGUUGGAACGGCGUUCUCUUUCUCUGUUGAGAAAGUUAGACUACAUCGCGAUGACAAAGUUUUAAAAUCCAACUUUGAAGUUCUCCAGGAUGUCAGCGCAACAGGCCGGGUUAAGGCUUCACCCUGGCAUUAUUGCAUCAGUGAUCCUGGUUUGCGCGGCGGCAGUCGCUGCUGCCGUAUUGAUCAUCCGAAAAUACUGCUUCCCAUUCAAUGAGGCGACAUACAGAUACUCGUUGUUGCGGCGCAUGGAGGAUCAGGAGUCGGCGGUGACAGAGGAAGAUGGCAACAGGGGGCCCUCCACUGUGGGAGAGGAGUCAGACGAGGAGCUACUAGAAUAAAUCUCCAACUGGGACGCAGCCGCACUGACUGGAAAGGAGUUCAUUAUCGACGGAUUGUGCGGUACAAAGGCCUGCAGCUGACUAUUAUUUACAGACGACCAUUUUAACUUCCUGCUGCUCAUCUUAAAAUCGAUCCUGACCCUCACUGCUGUGAUUGUGCUCCUUCUAAUCUUUUUCCUGACUUCAUUUGAUGCACAGGAGAAGGCACAAAAUGUUCUUGGGUUCAAUAAAAUUCACACAACAUUCACAACAGGCACAGCUAAAGUAGUACCAAAGUGCAGCCUCUCUGCAGUCUGUCCCUCGGACCACUUUGCUUUUAAAAUCCGGAGUGGAGCUGCUAAUGUGGUUGGUCCAAAAAUCUGCUUUGAUGGUAAAAACAUUAUGAGUCACAUUAUGAACAAUGUGGGACCAGGACUAAACAUUGUGGUGGUAAAUGGUAAACUCUGAUUUAUAAAGGUGAGAAUGGAGUUGUAGAAAAGUUUGGCUAUCUUAACAUGAUUAGUGGAAACUCGGCAGACAUCUUGGCAUACCUGAACGAGAUAAAGCCAGGAAUGAUUGUGCUGGUGGCCUCCUUUGAUGAUGCAGCACCAAAGAUGACAGAUGAAAUAAGGCAGAUGUUUGUCGAGAUGGGAAGCACUUUGAUCGGCUCUGUUAAGCGGAGAGACAACUGGGUGUUUGCUGGGAGAACGGGGAUAAAAAUCAAAAGCUUCUUUGAGCAGCGAGCUGAGAACAAUAGGGAAACAAACAUUUUCGAUGGAUGGCCAGAGAUGGUGGAGGUGGGCGGCUGUUUCCCAAGAACCACAAGUGUCUAAAAGUUUUCAUGAAUGAACUUUGAAGUUUUCCUUGCAAAAGACUUGAAGCUAUGGAAAGUAUUUUAUUCUGCAGAAUUCAACAAAACACUCUAAAUGCACGCUUACCCUUUCUUAUGUGGUGGUCGCUGCAGUGGGCAGCUAUUCAGAAAUGGUCUGCUUGUGUUAUUGAACUCUAGCAUGUCACUUCCUAGACCAGGCACUCUAAGUCCACAUAAACUUUAUUUGCAAAUAUA